CCGGUCCUCGAGAGCAAACCCGCGCAGACCACGUUCGGGAACCGGUCCCUCCCACCAGGGACCGGUCCCCGAGAGCAAAUCUGCCAAGUGCAGGUUUUUCACAUCAUUUGCUCUCGCGGACUCCAUUCCAAUGCACCUUUGGCCAUUUUGAUGCCUUCGGCUUUUCCGAAGCACACCAAGUCGACAAUCAGUCGAUUCUAACCGAAGUCCAACUCUCGUAUUUCGAGAAUUUACUUCCUUACA
rnacentral:lncRNA from 1 species